rnacentral:rRNA from 1 species
AAUAGAUACCCUGGUAGUCCACGCCGUAAACGAUGAGUGCUAAGUGUUAGGGGGUUUCCGCCCCUUAGUGCUGCAGCUAACGCAUUAAGCACUCCGCCUGGGGAGUACGGCCGCAAGGCUGAAACUCAAAGGAAUUGACGGGGGCCCGCACAAGCGGUGGAGCAUGUGGUUUAAUUCGAAGCAACGCGAAGAACCUUACCAGGUCUUGACAUCUCCUGACCGCCCUGGAGACAGGGUCUUCCCUUCGGGGACAGGAUGACAGGUGGUGCAUGGUUGUCGUCAGCUCGUGUCGUGAGAUGUUGGGUUAAGUCCCGCAACGAGCGCAACCCUUGUCCUUAGUUGCCAGCAUUCAGUUGGGCACUCUAAGGAGACUGCCGGCUAAAAGUCGGAGGAAGGUGGGGAUGACGUCAAAUCAUCAUGCCCCUUAUGACCUGGGCUACACACGUGCUACAAUGGGCGGUACAGAGGGUCGCGAACCCGCGAGGGGGAGCCAAUCCCAAAAAGCCGCUCUCAGUUCGGAUUGGAGG